GGAGGCUGAAGCUCGCUGAUGGAGUCAGAGAGAUGGAGGGAGACACUGGGGGGAGAGAGCAAAAGGAUGGAGGGAGAGAAAAAAGAGGGAGGAUACAACGUGCCAGUGGCAGAAAAGUGAAAUAUUCUGUCAGAUGUCUACAUUCAUGGUUCCCCCGGAGAAGAAAGAGCGUCUUUGGGUAGAGGAUUUUCAGUGACCACAGGAAACCCUACAAAUGGCUCAGAGGAUGUUCUCUCACCUUUACACACCAUCAUCUCUGUUCUACAUUUAGUCUCCUCCUUAUGUGCCCUUCAAAUGUGUUAGGAAGGUGGCCUAAAUAUCGCUCCCUCUGCUCCAAAGUCACUCCGUGUCAGCGACAUAUCCCAUAUGCCACGGUGACUCGACAGGCUGAGACAUUCACGCGCUUGUAUAUUGUGGAUUCAAGUCAGUCUGCUCAUCUGUACCACAUUUCUGCUGGAUAACGUAAUCACACAUUUCUUUAUGAUGCCCUCAUCCAUUUUGAAGAAUCAAAUAGUCAAACAGCUCUUGGAAUACCGUGCUGUUUCCAUCCAACUUUCAUGCAUGUUUACAUUAAGAAGCAAACCACACUCUGGUUAGCGUUUGCUGUCCUUGAAUUGUUGCCUGUCCUGUAGAAACAUAAAUAGUGAAUGAAAGUUGAUCUCAGUAACAAGGACCCCCUGGCCACAAAUUUUAAAUUGCAUCUAUAUAU